UGGGGAAUAUUGCACAAUGGGGGAAACCCUGAUGCAGCGACGCCGCGUGAGUGAAGAAGUAAUUCGUUAUGUAAAGCCCUAUCAGCAGGGAAGAAAAUGACGGUACCUGAGUAAGAAGCCCCGGCUAACUACGUGCCAGCAGCCGCGGUAAUACGUAGGGGGCAAGCGUUAUCCGGAUUUACUGGGUGUAAAGGGAGCGUAGACGGCAGUGCAAGUCUGGAGUGAAAGGCGGGGGCUCAACCCCCGGACUGCUCUGGAAACUGUACGGCUGGAGUGCAGGAGAGGUAAGUGGAAUUCCUAGUGUAGCGGUGAAAUGCGUAGAUAUUAGGAGGAACACCAGUGGCGAAGGCGGCUUACUGGACUGUAACUGACGUUGAGGCUCGAAAGCGUGGGGAGCAAACAGG
rnacentral:rRNA from 1 species